UUAACCCAAAUUCACUCUUUAUUUAAUAUAAAUUUAAAUUAGUAAAUAACAAUUUGGAGCAAUAUGUGUUCUUCUCUUUCAGGGAAACCUAUAUGAUAUUGGGUCAUUUGGACAGAAAUUAUUUUCUAAACCAUUGGCCCAAGUUCAAGUAAUCCAAUAUUGUUGAAUCUGGAUCGGGUCGGUAUCCCUUCCUGCUAGGGCUUUAUAAGUUUUAUAUAUAUAUAAAUGGUGUAGAUGGUAAAAAUCCUUGCCAGCAAUUGAUUGCCGCCUCUGCAUCCGGUUAGGGUUCAACGAAUAACCGAGAAGGCGGCAUCAAGUUUCCUUCUAUCCUAUCGCCAUGAGAGCCAAGUGGAAGAAGAAGCGCAUGAGAAGACUGAAGCGGAAGCGCCGAAAGAUGAGGCAGAGAUCCAAGUAGACAGAACCAUCAGCCCCUCUGUUAUACGAGGUUUCUAAAUGUCUUAGCUAAUAUCGGUGUACUUUUAGGGUCCACUUAGUUAUCUGCCAUUUUUAUUUCAGUUUUAAGCUUUUUUUUUCUCUUGGGUUUCUAUUGUCUUUCAAGUUGGUGCUAAUCCAGCAGUGGGAUGAUGUAUCAUCGUUGAGAACAGUGAAUUGCAAAAAAAAAAAAAGGAGCAGAUUUUAAGAUUGGAGUUUAA